rnacentral:rRNA from 1 species
GACGAACGCUGGCGGCGUGCUUAACACAUGCAAGUCGAACGAAGAGCGAUGGAAGCUUGCUUCUAUCAAUCUUAGUGGCGAACGGGUGAGUAACGCGUAAUCAACCUGCCCUUCAGAGGGGGACAACAGUUGGAAACGACUGCUAAUACCGCAUACGAUCUAAUCUCGGCAUCGAGGAUAGAUGAAAGGUGGCCUCUACAUGUAAGCUAUCACUGAAGGAGGGGAUUGCGUCUGAUUAGCUAGUUGGAGGGGUAACGGCCCACCAAGGCGAUGAUCAGUAGCCGGUCUGGGAGGAUGAACGGCCACAUUGGGACUGAGACACGGCCCAGACUCCUACGGGAGGCAGCAGUGGGGAAUCUUCCGCAAUGGACGAAAGUCUGACGGAGCAACGCCGCGUGAGUGAUGACGGCCUUCGGGUUGUAAAGCUCUGUUAAUCGGGACGAAAGGCCUUCUUGCGAAUAGUGAGAAGGAUUGACGGUACCGGAAUAGAAAGCCACGGCUAACUACGUG